GUUAUACAGUAUGGUGCUGCCGCGUAGCGCAAUAUGACUUUCUAAUUGUCUGUCUCUAUAUACGUACGUGUGGUGGUACACCUCAAGGAGAAAUCUGCCUCUUUUUCCAUUUAAUGAUAUCCGCGCUAAACAAAAGUGAAAAUGCAAUCAAUAAUCUUAUUGCUACGCUUCAUGUGGAAAACGAAAACCACCGUUUCAUUAAGUUGGGAACCAUAUGUAGUGAACUAUAAGGCGAAAGUAAGAGGUGGAGCUUUAGAGUUCUAACUUCACUACAGAGUGAUGUAUAAAUUCAACUGUGUUCAUUGUAGAGGCAUCAGUUGAGCCGAGUUGAGUGCAGCUGUCUAUAGAGCGCGAGGACUAACUUUGAAAAAGAAAUGAAGGUUUUAUUCAUUAUUAUCGCUGCUGCUGCCUUGCUGGUGGUCGAUGUUUCAGGCCAAUCGUUUUCCAAACCAAGUUUAUUCCGUUCCAAGCAGCAGGAAUUGGACUCGGAGUUGCCAUUCAGAUCUUCUCAGCGCGACUACCGUGAACCCAUCUACAGGUACAAUAAUGCCUUCCGUCCCUUGGAAGAAAUACCGACACCUAGGCCGCAUUUUAUGUUCUUUGUUAAAAGGAUGAGGAAAAUGCUUCUUGUGUAAAUAGCAUCAUUAGUUAUUUGUGUUUGUGUAGGUAAAUUGUUUUUUCUUCAACAAUUUUUUUGAGUUGAUGUGUACUGGGGUUGAUUCCGGGUGCAAUAUUCACGAAAAUGAGCUUAAAGAUGCACUAGAGAUUGUAUCGAAAUCAUCAUAUAGUCAAUAAAAAGUAGUGUCAAAAGUCUUA